rfam:Picea glauca, whole genome shotgun sequence.
UGUUGUGUACAUGCCUACAAUGUUAAUGCACUAGUUCCCAUCAUAACUCCGCAGUUAAGCGUGCUUGGGCUAGAGUAGUAUUAGGAUGGGUGACCUCCUUGGAAGUCCUAGUGUUUUAUAUGCC